AUCGUUAGUUUAGUGCCUAGAAU
rnacentral:siRNA from 1 species